CAGUAGCCGCGGUAAUACAGAGGGUGCGAGCGUUAAUCGGAUUUACUGGGCGUAAAGCGUGCGUAGGCGGCUUCUUAAGUCGGAUGUGAAAUCCCUGAGCUUAACUUAGGAAUUGCAUUCGAUACUGGGAAGCUAGAGUAUGGGAGAGGAUGGUAGAAUUCCAGGUGUAGCGGUGAAAUGCGUAGAGAUCUGGAGGAAUACCGAUGGCGAAGGCAGCCAUCUGGCCUAAUACUGACGCUGAGGUACGAAAGCAUGGGGAGCAAACAGGAUUAGAUACCCCAGUAGUUCCUGUCUCUUAUAC
rnacentral:rRNA from 1 species